rnacentral:misc_RNA from 1 species
CCUGAGUUUUACAACUCUCCAAACCAUGUGAACUUACCACUGUUGCCUCGGUGGUUUGGGUCUUCGGGCCUGACCACCGGCGGACUACUAAACUCUUGUUAACUUUUGGCAUUCUGAAUCAUAACUAAGAAAUAAGUUA